rnacentral:rRNA from 1 species
AGUGAACGCUGGCGGUAGGCCUAACACAUGCAAGUCGAACGGCAGCACAGUAAGAGCUUGCUCUUACGGGUGGCGAGUGGCGGACGGGUGAGGAAUACAUCGGAAUCUACUUUUUCGUGGGGGAUAACGUAGGGAAACUUACGCUAAUACCGCAUACGACCUACGGGUGAAAGCAGGGGAUCUUCGGACCUUGCGCGAUUGAAUGAGCCGAUGUCGGAUUAGCUAGUUGGCGGGGUAAAGGCCCACCAAGGCGACGAUCCGUAGCUGGUCUGAGAGGAUGAUCAGCCACACUGGAACUGAGACACGUUCCAGACACCUACGGGAGGCAGCAGUGGGGAAUAUUGGACAAUGGGCGAAAGCCUGAUCCAGCCAUACCGCGUGGGUGGAGAAGGCCUUCGGGUUGUAAAGCCCUUUUGUUGGUAAAGAAAAGCAGCAGGUUAAUACCCCGCUGUUCUGACGGUACCCAAAGAAUAAGCACCGGCUAACUUCGUG